rnacentral:lncRNA from 1 species
UUUUAUCCGAACAUUGACGCAAUAUCAUAGCCCCAGUAGGUGUUGCGGGGGCGUGACCAAAUUCUUCAGUACGAUCAAAAAAGUCUCUAUUAUAACAAAACUUGUGGUUUGGUUCUAGAAAAUGGCGAUGACCCAUGAAGCAAUAUUUGCAAUCAUGUGUUAACCGUUUGGAGAAAGUAUCUAUAUUACAACAAGGGUAGGCAAACACUCCAUGUAUGUACAUUCCACCCUAACAAAUUUCCGUAUGCAGGAAAAUUAUUAUUUGUCCACAAAAGUGCCGCCUUGAGUCAAAAAUUUUCAUCGCAAAAGGAGUUAUAAGUGUCUAUUCCUGUCACGCCCCGGGGUCUUUUUGUAAAGCCUUUUUGAAGUACAAGGGGGUCAAUUUGAAAUAAAGUUAGCAGAAAAUGCCCAGAAUAUUUUUGUUUUGAAUUACAACUUGUCCCCAAGACGUAACAGACCCGCCACAGAUACAGAAACUCUCUCUGCCCACACUAACAGAGUCUUUCCUGUAUCUUCACGGCGUACUAACAAAACAUACACAACACAUCAACCCAAACAAACAGCAUACAUAAUGCGGAUGUCAGAUAACCAUUCAGCUAACCAUCCUUAUGAUGAUGCAUGCUCUAAACACUCCUUACGCAAAGAAUGAUGCUAAUGCACAUUACAACAAUCAGUUCUAUUCUUUAAAAGUGUUUCCCACUCGGAAACUAUAUUUAAAAACACUAAAUAUUAAUAAAUCCAAAAGUCAUUUGAAAACUAUUGUCACGCACCGGGACCCGGCAUAGACCCGCCCGGCGCGUGCCCAGACCCGCCAUAUGCCUGCACAUAUAAAGCGUCUACGACAAAAGAGAUGCGAAAGCGAGAAGAAAUAAGUAUUUAGAGAUAUCAGAGCUACCAACAGCUAGACUAAAAGCAAGAAGAGAAGAAUAAAAGGAAAGUAAUCCACAAAAAGUGAUCAUAAAGUGAUACAAUAUCCAUCACAAAAGAAAUCCAAAAUGGGGUGGUCUCUAUACACAGGUAACUCUCCAAAACCUCUCCAAAAAUAAAAUCAACGAGAGCUGGACCACCUAUCGUAACGUCCCUCGGCAGCUAGCCUGAGGCGAUACCCUUUCCGCGGUCACUAGCCUCGCCCGGCGUGGAAGGCUCUGUAACAACAAUAAGAAAAAGAGGGCGUGAGAACUAUAAUUUAUAGUUCUCAGUGGGCAAUUACUGACCUCAGCGCAAUGGACCACUAGGCCCCAAAAAGUAAGGGUAGAUACGAGAAGUAAUAAUACUAACAAAAUAACUGCAGAUAUGAAAGCAUGAAAUAUGUGCUAAAUCACUAUGUCAUAAGUAACAUGAUGUCAACAUUUUGUACAUUCACUCUAUCAUGAUGAAGUAAGUCCAAUGCAUGACUAAUAUGUCCCAACAUAAUAAGCAAUAGGCAUUAUGAUCCAAUCUAUCAAUAUAUGAUGAACAUACUCUAUCAUGGCAACCAAGUAUACUAUGAUGCAACAAGUGAAACUAUCAAGUAUACUACAUGUCCCAAAGCUACGCUAUAAGCAUGUCAAAGUAAUCCAACUACUAUGCCUAUCUAGUAGUGAUUGUCAUAUCCCGGUUUAAUGUCAUUUUUCUAUCAUGUUCUAGGACCUACAUAAGUGUGGCCCAGCUUGUGCCGCCUAAGUGUCGGUGGUAGCUCCAGCAUUUCCACUCUAGGAAUGAGUCUAUCCCUCCCGACCCCGUAGGUUUCUCGAUACCGCACGAGCGAGCAUAAGUCGCGUAGGCCAGCUCCAGAGUGCCGGCUUGUAGGGAGCGACCCUCACAAGCAUGUGCGAAUGAGCACAAAUGGCAAACAAGCGUAGUCAAUAGCUCAAGUAUCCAAUCAUCAUGUCUCUAACAUGGUAUAAGCCAUUAGCAACCCAACGGUCUAGUUCUAU